AUACAGCCAGCAAGUAGCUAUGUGUUUUCUUUAGAAAGAAACUGGAAUAGUGAGUUGGAGAGAGGAGAAAAAUAAGUGGUAGGCCUCGCUCAGUUUAUUGCUUAUAUACCAAACAAAGAAUCCUGGAAGCCUGCGCGCGAUCAAUCUUACUUGCUAAAAGGUCUGACAGCUCCGUGCCCUCAGAACACAUUUAAGGCUUCUAACUCUCCCCUGGAUCAAAUGCAGCCAGGAAGCGGGGAGAAACACUGGCCACUCAGAUUAGAACACGUUUCUGUUUGCAAUCACAGCUUUUCUGUCGCUUAAAGGGUGUUUUAAGACAUUAAAAAUACAAGGAAAAUGUAGCAGAUGGGCGAUAAUGCGCGUAACGAUACUGCAGAAGAUCCUCGUGAAACUUUAGUUAUUAUGGAUGCGCCCAUGCGGAGGAAGAGCGGAACAAGGCCACCACAAGAGCUUCUGAGUUGCCCACGCGCUAGAGGAGACAAAACAAGAGGCCUACAAUGUUUUCGUGAUUUAUUAUAACUACAAAUUAAAUAUGAUGUUAUAGUUUAUUAAUGGUAUUACAGAUUAUGAGAUAAUGGGGAUACUGUUGUUUUUAUGAAAUAGCCUACCCUCUAAAGUCCUACCAGUUUUUUUCUACCUCACAAAUUAGGCUAUUUAUGGGAUAUUUUAAUGUGUUUAUUAUUACUAUUAUUAUUAUUCCUUCCUUAUUGUAGUUUGUGCCAUUGUGUUCUACGUUCAAAUCCCCUUGAAAUGAAGGUUGAAAGAUACAUUUAUAUUGAAAAUCAUUUCUUUAUUUAUCCGAACUGCAGCAGGAUGGAAUGUAUAACAUUGAAACAGAAACUUGGUAAUAUCUUAAAUAUUUUUUUUUUGCAAUAAAAAAAAAAUUCUGUCCUUCCUUCCAACCUUAUUGCAUGAUUGCGUGAUUUACAUUCGUAGAGAAAUCAAAUA